AGAGUUUGAUCAUGGCUCAGGACGAACGCUGGCGGCGUGCCUAAUACAUGCAAGUCGAGCGGUCCCUUCGGGGAUAGCGGCGGACGGGUGAGUAACACGUAGGUAACCUGCCUGUAAGACCGGGAUAACUAUCGGAAACGAUAGCUAAGACCGGAUAGCUGGUUUCUCGCAUGAGAGAAUCAUGAAACACGGGGCAACCU
rnacentral:rRNA from 1 species